CCCGCCGUGGUGUAGCGGCUUAACACGUUUGACCCGGCUUGUCAGAAGAAGACGUGGGUUCGAAUCCCGCCGGCGGUG